rnacentral:rRNA from 1 species
GCACUCUAAGUUGACUGCCGGUGACAAACCGGAGGAAGGUGGGGAUGACGUCAAAUCAUCAUGCCCCUUAUGAUUUGGGCUACACACGUGCUACAAUGGACAAUACAAAGGGCAGCGAAACCGCGAGGUCAAGCAAAUCCCAUAAAGUUGUUCUCAGUUCGGAUUGUAGUCUGCAACUCGACUAUAUGAAGCUGGAAUCGCUAGUAAUCGUAGAUCAGCAUGCUACGGUGAAUACGUUCCCGG